GGUAAGAGUGCGUGUGUGUGUGUGUGUGUGUGUGUGUGUGUUCAGCAUAGAGCGUGACAAAGCAGCAUCUCUCAGCACAGCAUGGAAUCUGUCAGACGGGCUGUUUAAUAAGUGGAGUGUGAUGCAAAGACCGACCCUAAAAAUGAGUCCCCCGCGCUCGGUUGCCAUGGCGAGUAUCAGACGAGGCUUUGUGCGAGUGUUGGGGAGAGGCAUAAAUCCGGGCGCCGCUAGAUUAGAAACAUGACGCCUCUAUCGCUCUCCUCUGUUCUCGCCUCACUUUGUUGUUCUGACUCGCGUUCCAAUUUGGUUCUGCCUCCCGCCUGCCUACAGGGAAAAAUGGACUCUUCUGGCCGACAUCUGAUAGCAGCCUGUCUGGCGUCACUGUAAACGAAUGAGUCUGUCACGGCGCAAACAAUCUGCAUUCAUCAUGUCUUAUCUGGCCGAGCCUCCGCCCGGCAGCAGCCUGGAAGAGUGAGCGUCCUUGGAGGAGAGCGGGAGGGCGGGAUGAGGCACGCAGGGUCAAGGUCAACAACAACUCGGGGCUCGGACUUAUUCGAGAGCUGCUGUUGGAUUCCUAGCAUCAGAGAAGGGCGCAGGCGGCUUGACUUACCCCUGAUCCUUUUUAGUUUCCUUGAGCACCUUUUGCAGUAAAGGCUAAUUCAUGCAAACGACAGGAUCAGACGGUCUGACAACGAAACAUAACAAUGCCUUGCUUGAGGGCUUAUUGUUAUGAAUUAUGUGCUGAGAGUGUCACUUGCUGGACGUUCACCACCACAAGGAUCCACAGCGCCCGCCUGUCAUGUGCAUGCCAGGCCAGUAGAUGGGGAUGUGACUUUGCAAAUCCACUUCAAACACGUAAACCGUGUGAGUCGUCAGAGCUGCAGAACCACAAACAAGAGCUACGGCACGGUGGUCGUAACAUACUGCCUACACUGAACGCUGUCCCAUGAAAGCCACGUGUGCAUGUUGCAUUUUUAGCAUUGCUUCAUAUUUUCUGUUUGCAUUUUUUUCCUGUUCAUGUGCAUUUGAAUGUUAUGAUAUGCUGUCUUAGAAGUAAUGAGUGUAUCUGUAUCCAUACACAUACAUAUACUUCUACACUCCCGAUCCAAAUGUUCAGAUCAGUUGGAAAAUGCGGACAAUGUACAUCUUGCACCUCCUCUUACGGAGGUUCUAAGUAGAGCUUCAAAAUGCAAAAAAAAGAAAUGGGAGUGAGACAAAACACAUUUUGAGCAAGCAAUUUAUUGCAAGGAAGCAUUAAAGUGAAAUAGACUUUCAUCAGCUCAUCAAAAGUUUAAGAGCAUAGCUCAGAAAGCCCCCAGAACCCCCUAAAAAUAGAAAUAAAA